rnacentral:lncRNA from 1 species
AUGUUGCUCUUCAUGGCCUUGUCCUUGACGUUCUCUCAAGGGCUUUAUUAUCUGGCAGUCCUUGCAACAAACAGAAUGACCUCUGGCUUCCUCUUACCUCUGAACCGUACAUCUUCUAUUGCCUGGAGUGCAUUCCCACCCUUGUUCAUCUGGCUUAGAGCUCCUCCUCUUCCCUGGGCAGCCUGCCCUCAUGCUCCCUCUACCUUCUGGAGCAGGGUGCCCGCCCUGCUGCCUGGGAGCUCCUUGAGAUCUGGCACGGUCAUCUUUUGCUGCACUCUACACCUACUCACUGCACCUCUGAUACAUAAACUGACAAACUCUAUUUUGAAUCCAAGCUGAGUUUUUGAAAGUCUCCGAGGAUUCCUUUGAAUGGUAUGUAUCAUAGAGGUUGGAGGGCAUUAGGCACACAGCACCCUGACUCCCUCCUCUGCAACUGACUUAUGUUGAGAUUUCUGAACAGCCUCUAACUUCCUUAGAUCUAAUAGGAUCAAAUAAGUGGUAAAUACCUGGUGGUAGUAGAGACUAGAAAACAGUGGAUUUAGUUCCAUUAGUGCUCUUGGCUUGGGAGCUAGAAGUUCUGCCCUAGAGUUCCAUUGAGCAUGCUAAGUAAUUGAGUCCUGAAAACAUGACAGUGUUGGACACUUAAAGAAUUGACUUUACUGAGGAUGGGACUUAGGGAAAAAAGAAGAUUCUGCAUUUUAUAUAUCAGCUACACAUUCAUUCCCACUUUUACCACUUAAGGGAAAGAAGUUUAAAAAUCUCUUUUUAAAAAAGAGACAAGCAAAAAACAAACAAACAAACAUACUCCUAAUAUAGAGAACAAACUGGUGAUUACCAGAGGGGAGGUGGGUGGGGCAUUGGUGAAAUAGGCAAAGGGGAUUAAGAGUACACUCAUAGUGAUGAGCAAUGAGUAAUAUGUAAAAUUGUUGAAUCACUCUAUUGUACACUUGAAACUAAUAUAACACUGCAUGUUAAUUAUAGAAUUUAAACACAAAUGCAAAACAAAAAACCUUAAACCUACAACAACCAUAUGACCCAUAUAUUCAGCUUCUCUUUAUUUACUAAAGCAAAGUUAAAAGAUAUGUCCACACACACAAAAAACUCUCCUUUAGAUGCCUUUUAUUUAUUUUUAUGCUUAUUUCUUUUAUUGAAGUAAGAAAUGGGUUGUGUAUGCAGAUGUGUAUUUUUAAACCUUUUGAACCCAAAGAACUUUAUUCAGUAUUCAUUAUGUUUGUAAGCAUGGUUUGAGCAUAUCUAAAGUGACGGAUUAGCUGGCUACAAAAUUUAUAGCUAUUGGUUUUAACUAUAAGAAGUAAUCAGAAAUGUGGAAGCAAUGAUA